AUGUACAUUCCUAUAGCAUAACGUUAAUGCAUCGGAUUCCAUUAGAACUCCACAAUUAAGCAUGCUUAGGCUAGAGUAGUACUGGGAUGGGUGACCACCCGAGAAGUCCUAGUGUUUUACAUG
rnacentral:rRNA from 1 species